ACGAGGUGUAGCGCAGUCUGGUUAGCGCGUCUGUUUUGGAAACAGAAGGCCAUAGGUUCGAAUCCUGUCACCUUGUU
rnacentral:tRNA from 1 species